rnacentral:lncRNA from 10 species
GUUCAACUCCCCUUGAGGGCCUCUCCGGUCCCGAGGCCUACGCCGGGGCCCUGCGGCCCGGUCUGUGAAAUGGGCUGAAACCUCCGAGGGGCGUUGGACCAAGGCCCUGGAGGAAACCGGGGGCGUUGGACCAAGGCAGAGGUUGGGCCAGGUGGUCCCGCCCCUGCAGGAACCCGUGGGGCUGGAGCUCGGAUUAGAACCACAGAGAGGACAUUCAUUAAGACUUGAGCUAAAGGUUUGGCGAGGAGUGACGCCCAAGACGGGCGGACCCCGCCACCCACCUCAGUCCCGGGACCGCGGCAGCUCAAAACCCGACACGCGCCGGACUCAUGCCCCAACAGGAAGCAGCUUUUACCUUCCACGGAUUGGCUCAGGACCCGUCACGUGCCUCUGUCGAGCCAACGAGCCUCACGCUGGGCUUAGCCCUCCUCGAACGUGCUGGGGUGGUGGGCGGGGCCCAAGCCGCCCUUCAACCAGGCUCAGCUGGCCACCAACCCCAACCCCCGCCCCAGCGCCCUCAGCGGAGGCCACAGAGGACUCCCAAUAUAAAGACAAACGUACUGAAGGCCCAGCAUAUGGGAGUCUCUACCCUAAACGACUUAUUUCUUGGGAUAGUUUAAUAUUUUUUGAGAUAGGGUCUCGCUGUGUCGCCCAGGCGACACUUUGGGAGGCUGCGCUCUGGGCUCACUGCAACCUUCGCCUACCGAGUAGCUGGGAUUACAGGUGCAUGCCGCCACACUCUGCUCUUUUUUUUUUUUUUUUUUUUUUUUUGGUAUUUUUAUAGAGAAAGAGUUUUGCUUGUUGCCCAGGCUGGUCUCGAACCCCUGACUUCAAGUGAUCCACCUGCCUCAGCCUCCCAAAGCGCUGGGAUUACAAGCUUGAGGCACCGCACCUGCACCAGCAGCUUCAGUCGGUCAUUGCCCUGGGCUUCGAAGAGGUCCUGCACCUGUGGCCAGAUGUGAGGAGUGGACCAAGUCAGUUGGGUGUAAAGCCCAGCCAGGGCACAGGUACCUCUGCAUCCCCGCCUGUCAUGAGCACCCAGACCAACCCUCACCUCCUUGCUCAUGGCCAAGUUACACAUGCACUCCGUGGCUGCCCGGCGGAUCAUCUCAUGCUCCUCAAACAUGUAGCCUUCUAUCAUGGGCACAGCCUUCUCCUUCAGGAUCUUCUGCCUGCAGGGCCACAGGAGGAAGCAGCAGGGAUACGGUUUGGAUGUUUUCCCUUCUAACCCUCAUGUUGAACUAUAAUCCCCAAUGUUGGAGGUAGGGCCUGGUGGGAGGUGACUGGGUCAUGGGAUGGGUCCCUCAUGGCUUGGUGCUAUCCUCGUGAUAGUAAGUUCUCGUGAGAUCUGGUUAUUUAAAAGUGCGUGGCAUCUCGGCCGGGCGUGGAGGCUCACGCCUGUAAUCCCAGCACUCUGGAAGGCCGAGGCAGGCAGAUGACUUGAGGUCAAGAGUUCGAGACCAGCCUGGCCAACAUGGUGAAACCUUGUCUCUACUAAAAAGACAAAAAAAAAUUAGCUGGGUAUGCUGGUGCGCGCCUGUAGUCCCAGCUACUCAGGGAGGCUGAGGCAGGAGAAGCGAUUGAACCCAGGAGGUGAAGGUUGCAGUGAGCCAAGAUUGCGCCACUGCACUCCAGCCUGGGCAACAGAGGGAGACUCCAUUUCAAAAAAAAAAAAAGUGUGUGGCACCUCCCCCGACUGUCUCUUGCUCCUACUUUCACCAUGUGAUGUGCCUGCUCCUGCUUUGCCUUCUACUAUGAGUAAAAGCUCUCUGAGGCCUCCCCAGAAGCUGAGCAAAUGCCAAUGCCAUGCUUACACAGCCUGUAGAGCCAGGAAGCAAUUAAAUCUCUUUUCUUUAUAAAUU